GCCAGGUGCGGGGUGGUGCGCACCUGUAAUCCCAGAGGCUUGGGAGGCUGAGGCAGGAGGAUGGUGAGUUCAAAGCCAGCCUCAA
rnacentral:sRNA from 1 species